UUAACACAUGCAAGUCGAGCGGGGGAAGGUAGCUUGCUACCGGACCUAGCGGCGGACGGGUGAGUAAUGCUUAGGAAUCUGCCUAUUAGUGGGGGACAACAUCUCGAAAGGGAUGCUAAUACCGCAUACGUCCUACGGGAGAAAGCAGGGGAUCUUCGGACCUUGCGCUAAUAGAUGAGCCUAAGUCGGAUUAGCUAGUUGGUGGGGUAAAGGCCUACCAAGGCGACGAUCUGUAGCGGGUCUGAGAGGAUGAUCCGCCACACUGGGACUGAGACACGGCCCAGACUCCUACGGGAGGCAGCAGUGGGGAAUAUUGGACAAUGGGCGCAAGCCUGAUCCAGCCAUGCCGCGUGUGUGAAGAAGGCCUUAUGGUUGUAAAGCACUUUAAGCGAGGAGGAGGCUACUUUANAUAAUACCUAGAGAUAGUGGACGUUACUCGCAGAAUAAGCACCGGCUAACUCUGUGCCAGCAGCCNNNGUAANAAAAAA
rnacentral:rRNA from 1 species